CGGGUGAGUAAUGUCGGAAACUGCCUGAUGGAGGGGGAUAACUACUGGAAACGGUAGCUAAUACCGCAUAACGUCGCAAGACCAAAGUGGGGGACCUUCGGGCCUCAUGCCAUCAGAUGUGCCCAGAUGGGAUUAGCUAGUAGGUGGGGUAAUGGCUCACCUAGGCGACGAUCCCUAGCUGGUCUGAGAGGAUGAUCAGCCACACUGGGACUGAGACACGGCCAGACUCCUACGGGAGGCAGCAGUGGGGAAUAUUGCACAAUGGGCGCAAGCCUGAUGCAGCCAUGCCGCGUGUAUGAACGAAGGCCUUCGGGUUGUAAAGUACUUUCAGUCGGGAGGAAGGUGGUAAGGUUCAAUAACCUUAUCAAUUGACGUUACCGACAGAAGAAAGCCAACCGGGCUAAACUCCGUGGCCAGCAAGCCCGCGGGUAAAUACCGGAGGGGGUGGCCACANGCCGGUCACCUCCGGAAAUUCACCUGGGGCCGCUAAAGGCCGCCACCGCCANGGCCGGGCUCGCACUCGCAGCUCCCGAACUGCNGACACACUCCCCCCGGGGCUUAACACCCCGGGGCACUUCCGCCUCCGCACUUCACCNUGGG
rnacentral:rRNA from 1 species